rnacentral:rRNA from 1 species
GAUGAACGCUAGCGGCAGGCCUAAUACAUGCAAGUCGAACGGUAAGUUGGGUAGCAAUACCUAGCCUAGAGUGACGUAAGGGUGCGUAACAAGUAUGCAAUCUGCCCUCAACUGGAGGAUAGCUCCCCGAAAGGGGAAUUAACACUCCGUAAUAUCAUGGGAAGGCAUCUUUUUGUGAUUAAAACUCCGGUGGUUGAGGAUGAGCAUGCUUCUGAUUAGCUAGUUGGUGGUGUAACGGACCACCAAGGCGAUGAUCAGUAGGGGAACUGAGAGGUUGAUCCCCCACACUGGCACUGAGAUACGGGCCAGACUCCUACGGGAGGCAGCAGUAGGGAAUAUUGGACAAUGGGUGCAAGCCUGAUCCAGCCAUGCCGCGUGCAGGAAGAAGGCCUUCUGGGUUGUAAACUGCUUUUGCCAGGGGNUAAAAAGCCCAUGCGUGGGAAAUUGAAGGUACCUGGUGAAUAAGCCACGGCUAACUACGUGCCAGCAGCC